UACGGAGGGUGCGAGCGUUGUCCGGAAUCAUUGGGCGUAAAGGGCGCGUAGGUGGUGGGACAAGCGUGCGGUGAAAGCCUGGGGCUCAACCCCGGGUCGGCCGUGCGAACUGUUUUGCUUGAGCACUGUAGAGGCAGGCGGAAUUCCGGGUGUAGCGGUGGAAUGCGUAGAGAUCCGGAGGAACACCAGCGGCGAAGGCGGCUCACUGGCCCGGUACUGACGCUGAGGUGCGAAAGCGUGGGGAGCAAACAGG
rnacentral:rRNA from 1 species